rnacentral:rRNA from 1 species
GAAACACGGACCAAGGAGUUUAUCGUGUGCGCAAGUCAUUGGGUGUUGAAAACUCAAAGGCGCAAUGAAAGUAAAGAAUCCGCAAGGAUACGACGUGUGAUCUGAGCAAUCACGAUUGCCUGGAGCAACAUGGCCCCAUUCUGGUCGCUUGCGACGGGGUGGAGGAAGAGCGUACGCGGUGAGACCCGAAAGAUGGUGAACUAUUCCUGAGCAGGAUGAAGCCAGAGGAAACUCUGGUGGAAGUCCGAAGCGAUUCUGACGUGCAAAUCGAUCGUCUGACUUGGGUAUAGGGGCGAAAGACUAAUCGAACCAUCUAGUAGCUGGUUCCUUCCGA